GGAGUCGGCCAGGCAGCCGCUGUACCCGUGGCAAUCAAUGCGGGGCAGAGGAAAGUCCGGGCUCCAUAGAGCGGGAUGCGGGAUAACCACCCGGCGUGGCGACACGACGAACAGGGCCACAGAGACGAGUCCCGAGGCCGAAACACUCGCAAGGGUGCUCGAAAUCGGGGGUGAAACGCGGCAACCUCCAUCCGGAGCAACACCAAAUAGGCAAGCAGGGUAGCGGGGGCAACCCCGGUACUGGAGGCCGGCUCGGUCGGGCUUGCGGGUAGGUGGCUUGAGCCCU
rnacentral:RNase_P_RNA from 1 species